UAGCCAUGGCGGCUGCUAUACAUGCAGUCGUACGCUUCUUUUUCCACCGGAGCUUGCUCCACCGGAAAAAGAAGAGUGGCGAACGGGUGAGUAACACGUGGGUAACCUGCCCAUCAGAAGGGGAUAACACUUGGAAACAGGUGCUAAUACCGUAUAACAAUCGAAACCGCAUGGUUUUGAUUUGAAAGGCGCUUUCGGGUGUCGCUGAUGGAUGGACCCGCGGUGCAUUAGCUAGUUGGUGAGGUAACGGCUCACCAAGGCCACGAUGCAUAGCCGACCUGAGAGGGUGAUCGGCCACAUUGGGACUGAGACACGGCCCAAACUCCUACGGGAGGCAGCAGUAGGGAAUCUUCGGCAAUGGACGAAAGUCUGACCGAGCAACGCCGCGUGAGUGAAGAAGGUUUUCGGAUCGUAAAACUCUGUUGUUAGAGAAGAACAAGGAUGAGAGUAACUGUUCAUCCCUUGACGGUAUCUAACCAGAAAGCCACGGCUAACUACGUGCCAGCAGCCGCGGUAAUACGUAGGUGGCAAGCGUUGUCCGGAUUUAUUGGGCGUAAAGCGAGCGCAGGCGGUUUCUUAAGUCUGAUGUGAAAGCCCCCGGCUCAACCGGGGAGGGUCAUUGGAAACUGGGAGACUUGAGUGCAGAAGAGGAGAGUGGAAUUCCAUGUGUAGCGGUGAAAUGCGUAGAUAUAUGGAGGAACACCAGUGGCGAAGGCGGCUCUCUGGUCUGUAACUGACGCUGAGGCUCGAAAGCGUGGGGAGCAAACAGGAUUAGAUACCUGGGGUAGUCCAAAAAGUAAUUUAAUAGAUUUAAUUU
rnacentral:rRNA from 1 species